UACAGAGGGUGCAAGCGUUAAUCGGAUUUACUGGGCGUAAAGGGCGCGUAGGUGGUUAUUUAAGUGAGAUGUGAAAGCCCCGGGCUCAACCUGGGAACUGCAUCUUAUACUGGGUAACUGGAGUGCAGUAGAGGGUAGUGGAAUUUCCGGUGUAGCGGUGAAAUGCGUAGAUAUCGGAAGGAACACCAGUGGCGAAGGCGGCUACCUGGACUGAGACUGACACUGAGGCGCGAAAGCGUGGGGAGCAAACAGG
rnacentral:rRNA from 1 species